CAGCAGCCACGGUAAUACGGAGGGUGCAAGCGUUAAUCGGAAUUACUGGGCGUAAAGCGCACGCAGGCGGUCUGUCAAGUCAGAUGUGAAAUCCCCGGGCUUAACCUGGGAACUGCAUUUGAAACUGGCAGGCUAGAGUCUUGUAGAGGGGGGUAGAAUUCCAGGUGUAGCGGUGAAAUGCGUAGAGAUCUGGAGGAAUACCGGUGGCGAAGGCGGCCCCCUGGACAAAGACUGACGCUCAGGUGCGAAAGCGUGGGGAGCAAACAGGAUUAGAUACCUCAGUAGUCCAUGUCUCUUAUAC
rnacentral:rRNA from 1 species